CAUAUAUACUGGUGCACCUUUGUGAUAGCAGGUGGUGAAAUGUUUGGUAAAAAAGCAUUUCACUGGAAGUCCUUCAUGGAAGAGGAGACUCUCAUUCAGCUCAUUUAGGAUUCUGGAGACUCACCCGGUUAUCAACCUAACUAACUGACUAAAGAAAUAAAAGAAGUCAGAAGAAAAUGUAGUUGUCCCUUGCGUCCUUCAGUCCUUAGAGGCCUUUUUCAAGUUUGGGCAAAGAGCUGCAGUGUGAACCAUACACAACCUGACACUCACCAUUGUGUUGAAGCCACAGUGCCUCCAUUUUGGAACUCAUUUUUAAUUGUAAAAAAUAUUUUGGAAGCUAUAGAAAUGCAUUCAUUAAAUGCCUACAUUUGUUUUGACAAAUGCAUUAUA